UACGGAGGGGUCCUAGCGUUGCUCGGAAUCAUUGGGCGUAAAGCGGGUGUAGGCGGACAACCAAGUCAGAUGUGAAAGCCCCAGGCUCAACCUGGGAAGUGCAUUUGAAACUGGUUAUCUUGAGUGCAGUAGAGGAAGGUGGAAUUCCAAGUGUAGUGGUGAAAUACGUAGAUAUUUGGAGGAACAUCGGUGGCGAAGGCGACCUUCUGGACUGUUACUGACGCUGAGACCCGAAAGCGUGGGGAUCAAACAGG
rnacentral:rRNA from 1 species